rnacentral:rRNA from 1 species
UACAGAGGGUGCAAGCGUUGUUCGGAAUUACUGGGCGUAAAGCGCGUGUAGGCUGCGAUGUAAGUCAGGUGUGAAAGCCCUCAGCUUAACUGAGGAAGUGCACUUGAUACUGUGUCGCUUGAGUGUCGGAGGGGGUGGCGGAAUUCCCGGUGUAGAGGUGAAAUUCGUAGAUAUCGGGAGGAACACCAGAGGCGAAGGCGGCCACCUGGACAGACACUGACGCUGAGACGCGAAGCGUGGGAGCAAACAGG